rnacentral:piRNA from 1 species
UGAUUUUACUCUGAAGUUCUUUGCUCU